rnacentral:rRNA from 1 species
AUGCACGCUGGCGGCGUGCCUAAUACAUGCCAGUCGAGCGAACAGACGAGGAGCUUGCUCCUCUGACGUUAGCGGCGGACGGGUGAGUAACACGUGGAUAACCUACCUAUAAGACUGGGAUAACUUCGGGAAACCGGAGCUAAUACCGGAUAAUAUAUUGAACCGCAUGGUUCAAUAGUGAAAGACGGUUUUGCUGUCACUUAUAGAUGGAUCCGCGCCGCAUUAGCUAGUUGGUAAGGUAACGGCUUACCAAGGCGACGAUGCGUAGCCGACCUGAGAGGGUGAUCGGCCACACUGGAACUGAGACACGGUCCAGACUCCUACGGGAGGCAGCAGUAGGGAAUCUUCCGCAAUGGGCGAAAGCCUGACGGAGCAACGCCGCGUGAGUGAUGAAGGUCUUCGGAUCGUAAAACUCUGUUAUUAGGGAAGAACAAAUGUGUAAGUAACUAUGCACGUCUUGACGGUACCUAAUCAGAAAGCCACGGCUAACUACGU